AUGUAAAUGAUAAACAUAUUUUAUGUAUAUAUUGCACUGUGGAAUCCCGCAUUUCCAUAUUAAUACAUCAACAUGGAAACUCCAAUAUAUAAAUAGCAUAUGAAUCGUGGAAUCCCUAAAAUGUGUUGUGCAAGAUUCCAUGGGGAAUUUUAGUUGUGUUCUGCUAACCUUCAUGGAGGUUUAAUAUCAAUAUUUAUUAACGAUUGCAAAGGGAGAAAACGCUUUAAAACCGAGUUGAUGUUAAACAAUGAUAGGUAAAACAGUUCCAAUAGAAACAACCGCCUUCCAAGAAGAAUGCACCCUAAACAAUACCCACGCCCAAAUGGAGCUUUAGGCUAGAGAAUUUAAGGAUGUGGACAUAAAGGGCUUCUAAAUGCAAAUAUGUAAAAUUAGAAGAACAAUUAUUAGACCACUAAUUAGGACAAACCAAUUCAGAAAAAAUGAAGGAGUUGAAAAACAAAACUGGGAAGUCUCAACCAGUUCAUUUUUAAGUUGUUAAGUUAACAUCUUUCUGCAGAGUUAGAACAAGUAUGGUAACGUUAUUCCUGACUAGCUAAUCCCUUAUAGUAAAAAAUGCACGCCAUUUAAAACAACAUGAUAGCUCAUUUGAGUACACAAAGGAGUCGUGAAAUUCCUUUGUCGGUAUGAUCUACAUCUCUCGCCAGAGAUUAAAACCUCGACCAGGUACACUGAACAUUACUGCAAGCUGGCCUGCAGUUUUCCAUAAAACCAUAUUCCACCUUUGACAGUCAUUUUAAACAAACCAACAUUUAGUACAAUGUUGGUGGUUACCCUAAAAACAUUUCUGUGAAAUUAUUCAAAAUUUAGACCAAUGGUGUAGGAGACGACAUUUGCAGAUUGUAUAGCUUUGGCAGCUGGCGGCAAUGUUUUUUUGAUACAUCGUUUGUACUCUGAACAUUCUUGAAAUAAUCCGACGUUAAAAUUUAAGGCACCUGGUGGUCAUGUUUUUAUAAUGACUCAGAAUAAUUUGGACAGUCUUAGUAGAAUCAUCCAAAAGCGUUUUGAAAUUAGGACAGCGGAUCCUGACAAGAUUAAAAUUUGAAGCGUGCCAUCCAAGGAUCGUUAGGCGAAAUUAUAUCAAAAUUGGACCAACAGUUUACAAGAUGUUGCUCGAAGAUCUUCUGUCUGUGUCUUCUUUAGAAUUUGAACACACUUUGUAAUGGAUGGAUCAACUUAGGCACAAUUAUGUGAAUAGGUUCUAAACCCAGGCAAGCUGUUUCUAAUAAGAAGAAGUUUCUGAUAUAUACACGUAGAUGAUAACAUUUUUAACAAAUGAAGUUAAUUAAAGCCUUAAUAGAGGGUCACAAAAGAAACAUUUCCAAAGUUAAACUGGUGAUGCCGUUGAAGAUGGUACUAUAUGUAGCUCGGGCGGUCGUGUUUUAACCGAUGUUAGUAAUUUAAACAUUGUCGGCAUAAGAACGUUUGUUAAAAACGAUUAUUAAAUUCAGUCAACAGUU